rnacentral:rRNA from 1 species
CCUACGGGUGGCAGCAGUGAGGAAUAUUGGUCAAUGGACGAGAGUCUGAACCAGCCAAGCAGCGUGAAGGAUGACUGCCCUAUGGGUUGUAAACUUCUUUUAUAAAGGAAUAAAACGAGGCACGUGUGCCUUAAUGCACGUAUUUUAUGAAUACGGCUCGGCUAACUCCGUGCCAGCAGCCGCGGUAAUACGGAGGAUCCGGGCGUUAUCCGGAUUUAGUGGGUUUAAAGGGAGCGUAGAGGGGUUGUUAAGACAGUUGUGAAAGUUUGCGGCUCAACCGCAGAACUGCAAUUGAUACUGGCAGUCUUGAGUACAGGUGAGGUAGGCGGAAUUCGUGGUGUAGCGGUGAAAUGCGUAGAUAUCACGAAGAACCCCGAUGGCGAAGGCAGCUUGCUGAACUGUGACUGACGUUGAUGCUCGAAAGUGUGGGUAUCAAACAGGAUUAGAUACCCCUGUAGUC